rnacentral:tRNA from 1 species
GACAGCGUAGCUCAAUGGAUAGAGCGUAUGUCUCCGAAGCAUAAGGCUGCGGGUUCGACCCCCGCCGCUGUCA